rnacentral:lncRNA from 13 species
AACCCCUGGGGAGGGGUGGUGAUGUGUCAGCUAUGAGCCAGCCUCUUGGCCAUGCACUGGGAAUGUGCCAGGAGCUUGGAUCUCUUCACUGAAUUCCAGGCUAAACAAUCUGCCUACCCGAUGUUUCCAUUUGGAUCUCUGAAAGAAUUUAAAUGUUGAAACCUAAUCCCAAUAUGAUGGGUGUUUGGAGGUGGGACCUUUGAGUAUGGAGCACUCAUGAAUGAGAUCAGUGUCAUUAUAAGAAGAUGCCAAGGAGCUAGCUAGCUCUCUUUCUGCCACGUGAAGAUACAAGGAGUAUGUGGCAGUCUGCAACCCAAAAGAGGGCCCUCACUAGAACCUGACCAGGCUGGCACCUUGAUCUUGGACUUGCAGCCUUCAGAACUGUGAGAAAUAAAUUUCUGUUCUUUUUAAGCCA